rnacentral:rRNA from 1 species
UACGAAGGGGGCUAGCGUUGUUCGGAAUUACUGGGCGUAAAGCGCGCGCAGGCGGUCCUUCAAGUCAGAGGUGAAAGCCCAGAGCUCAACUCUGGAACGGCCUUUGAAACUAGAGGACUUGGGUACGGGAGAGGUGAGUGGAAUUCCGAGUGUAGAGGUGAAAUUCGUAGAUAUUCGGAAGAGCACCAGUGGCGAAGGCGGCUCACUGGCCCGUUACCGACGCUCAGGCGCGACAGCGUGGGGAGCAAACAGG